rnacentral:rRNA from 1 species
UACGGAGGGGGCUAGCGUUGUUCGGAAUUACUGGGCGUAAAGCGCACGUAGGCGGCUUUGUAAGUUAGAGGUGAAAGCCCAGGGCUCAACCCUGGAAUUGCCUUUAAGACUGCAUCGCUAGAAUUGUGGAGAGGUAAGUGGAAUUCCGAGUGUAGAGGUGAAAUGCUUAGAGAUGACAUAGAACACCCAUUGCGAAGGCAGCUAACUACGCGAUAAUUGACGCUGAUGCACGAAAGCGUGGGGAUCAAACAGG